ACCAUGCUAGUUCUUGGAGCUCCAGGAAAGGAGACAAGGGGGUGCAUGAUCAUGAGGUCCACUGGUCUUACCACAUUCCCCAUCAUCCAGAAGCAAUAGUCUGAAAGCCUGGCAAAAUUAACAAAGAUACCAGCUCAGUGACAACAUUUCAGGUUUCCUGGCUCUAUAAAAUGUGAUGCACGCCUUCAAUGUGUGCAGCAGAAUCUGUGAGAUUGCAGAAUGCCACAUUAAACUCAGAGCUCCUGGGCUAAUGAGGGCCAAGAAGGUCUCAUGGAGACCCACUUACCCAAGACCAUGGAAUUGAGGAGGUACAAGCUCUUCAUACACAAAAAGGUAGACAAAGCAUGUGCCCUUUGUCUAAGGAGAAGAGUACCUAUGAGAGCCAAAGAUGAUUUGGAGGCUUUCUGAGAGGGAAACCUGAAGAGAAAAGAAAGCAGUCAUAUACUAAAUCUCACCUGUCAGAGGCUCCCCAUUUAGGUGGAAUGGUGGAAAACACAAGGGCUCUGUCUCCCAGUGAAGAAAGAUUUGAAUCCUAGUACUAAGACUUUCUAUAGACACUGAAGGCAGCUACUUAGCCCUCCUGGACCA